rnacentral:rRNA from 1 species
CUGAAAUCAGACGAGACUACCCGCUGAACUUA